CCUAAUGCUAACUCUAAGAACAUAAUGCUAUCUACUCCCAAUAGAAGACCAACAUGUACACACACACUGACACCGGAAUAUUUAGCUAAUAGUAUAUGAACCAGCUACCAGAGUCAUGGUCAUGCAACCUGUAAUUAAUUAAUGAGCCUUUCCCACCCAUAGGCCGAUUUAAUACCUAAAUGUAGAUAACGAACAGCCUGACCCUACCCCAACACAUUAUGCAUAAUAUAUACACUAGAACCAAGCUAUGGUACAUACUAUAGGUCAAGUUAUAGGAACCAAAAAAGCUGUUGUGAUUUCACCCACCCACACACACAGACAACUAGAACUCUGUGGUAAAAAAAAAAUAAUGGUACAUGUACAUAACCCUCAGUAGUAACACCUUGAGGGAGCCUUAAAUUAAAGCUCACAUGAUCCAAGCAUGCCAUAUAGAAACAAAUGGAUAAAAUGGAGUGUAACCAAAAAAAGUCAUCUGAAGCCAUCCAGUAAGUAACGCAAUAUCUGGCCUUUAUGAUAUUAUUAUGCUGCACUUGUAUGAAUACAUAAAACUAAUUAUAUAGCACAUGUCAAAAUCCUUAAUUCUGUAUGCCCAAGAAAUCAGCAGCAACUUAGCUCACGUGAAUCAUCGUAAUGACAACGUAUAGACCACCCCCACUAACAAGUUUACCCAUAACUACUGCUAGAAUAGGAAAUAAUGUAGUAAUGAAUGUUACAUGAUAAUUAUAGUAAUGCCAUUUGUUGGCAUUAUAGCAAAUCCGGACUCCAUAGGGAGUGGUUCCGCCUAUUCUGUAGUCGACCACGGGUCGGGAAAUUAAAGGAACCGAAACCCGUGGCCUGACGAGGAUCAGAUUAGGUUCUCCCCUGAUGACCGGUGCAUUCAAUAAACCGAGAGCAGAAGGCAUAAGCCUACUAACCUCGCACUUACGAUAGAUACUAUAGCUCUUCCUGUGUUCACAUAAUAAUCAUGUACUAUUGGGUAGCUUAGGGUCAUUCGCAACACUCACGUGCAUUUUAUAAACAGUCACCAUGUGACUUAACCUUAGCACAGCAAGCUAAGCUACCUAUUUUAUACCUACACAGCACUUUAAAUUAAAACCUGCUAUACCAGAACAAUAAUUAGAUAGAUAGACUAUAAGAUCGGAUUACGCGGGACCUGUUACAAGUGAGUGUUUCUCUCUUUUCUACUCUUAGGCUGAGUCAGUAAUUAUGUGUCGGAAAGCCCGAUCCCACCUCCUAUACUUCUGUAUAUACCAUUCUCAAACACACACACACACACACACACACACACACACCUCUCCCACACAUACACAUACACACACAUACACUGGUGCCCAUACUUCCUGGCAGAGUUUGAUGGGGGAAAUGUGUUCACAAGACCAUUUUCUCACCAACUCACGCAGACAAACAACCAGAUCACUGAAUAUAGGUUAUAGUAUGUUUCUACUACUGUGAGCUCAUGAGGUAAACAGCACUCUCAAGUGAGUAGGUAAGAACAUAUCCAUGAGUCUCGUCACACCGACAAUGCACACCUCUAACCUUUCUAUUGCAUACUCAGCAAAUGUCUCUUCCACAAAUCUGUCAUCCUACCUAUCGAGUGAGCACACAAACUGUUCUAACCACCAGCCAAAAUAUCUACUCCACCAAUACCAACGGCAGUACCAACAACAAUACUGUGGCAUAUGAGAGCAGGACUCCCUCUGCUGCCACUGUUGCCCACAGCCUGCUCCCACCUUCCUCAGCGACGCCCUCACAGUCCUCUGACAGUACAAAGGUCAAGAAGUACGAGAGCAUGAAGGUGGAGGACAUUGAGAACUAAAUCACUGACACUUGCAAAAAAAAAAACAUUAGUAGUG